GAUGAACGCUGGCGGCGUGCCUAAUACAUGCAAGUCGAGCGAAUGGAUUAAGAGCUUGCUCUUAUGAAGUUAGCGGCGGACGGGUGAGUAACACGUGGGUAACCUGCCCAUAAGACUGGGAUAACUCCGGGAAACCGGGGCUAAUACCGGAUAACAUUUUGAACCGCAUGGUUCGAACUUGAAAGGCGGCUUCGGCUGUCACUUAUGGAUGGACCCGAGUCGCAUUAGCUAGUUGGUGAGGUAACGGCUCACCAAGGCAACGAAGCGUAGCCGACCUGAGAGGGUGAUCGGCCACACUGGGACUGAGACACGGCCCAGACUCCUACGGGAGGCAGCAGUAGGGAAUCUUCCGCAAUGGACGAAAGUCUGACGGAGCAACGCCGCGUGAGUGAUGAAGGCUUUCGGGUCGUAAAACUCUGUUGUUAGGGAAGAACAAGUGCUAGUUGAAUAAGCUGGCACCUUGACGGUACCUAACCAGAAAGCCACGGCUAACUACGUGCCAGCCGCCGCAGUAA
rnacentral:rRNA from 1 species